UUUUAGUCAUUGGUACAAUAGUUAGGUAUCUGCUCUCCAGCACUGUAUUGCUGUUUGAUAAUCACAUUAUGGGUUCCUGCACAUCCGACGGUUAGUGUAAAUUUGUCACUAGGCACUCUUUUGGGUAUUAUAGUGAAUGUGUUAGCAAACAGCUGCCUAUUUACACAACCAGAGAAGGAGCAACCAUAGCAUUCAUUUGAAGUCACGUUUCUGACCACCACCUAGAGGCCUAUAUAGCCUCUCCUUUAAGCUCUGUUUUGGUCUCCACCAACUUCUGAGAGAAAAUUAGCUGCUAAGUGCUCCACUCUGUUCACCAGCUAGUCUCUAAGUGUGUCGGUCUGCUGUUUGGUGCUGGGCAGGUAGAGUACAGUGGCUUUAUCAGACCUUUGUCACUGCAAGCAGUGGCCUGCUGUUGGUGAAAACCAGCUUGAUGAGAGUAGAGUUACAGGCUAGAAACCCAAACCAGCGAUAUGUGUCAGUCAGUAAGAGACUUGCACUCUCCUAGGCUGCAUCACCUCAUCAUUUCGGGAAUUUGAAUAUUCUUUGCCCGGGAGAACACGUCCAGAGGAAGAGGAGGAGGAGGAGAGGAUUGAAGAUGAGGAAGAGUAAGAUGUCUUGGUCCUCUUUCCUGGUUUCUCUAAAAGAAAAGAAAUGUACACUAAUAAGUUUGUCUCCAAUCAAAUUUUCUACUUCUCAUUUACUUUAAGAUACUUUUUGUUUUACUGUGCUGUAUAACGGCUUAUCAGGGAACAUUUUACAGUAAGGCUGAGAUGCAAUAAGACAUAAUUAAAUUACUAACCAAUCAAAAGGAUAAAAGCGGAAACAGCUAAAAGCAAGACAGUGCUCAGGUGAAACAAAACAUCAUAAAAGGAAAUUUAAAAUUAUUACAACUGCUACUCCUUAAACUACAUUAUAAACAUCAUUUGCUACUAUUACUUCUACUGUACAGCUUCUGCUGUUACAAGCUUUACUGCUGCUGCUGCUGCUCCAAAAGGAAACCAUAGAAGCUCUGAAAUGCAACAGCAAAGAUGAAACAAAUUUAAGGUUUCAUUUUGAGAUUCUCUUCAUUUUUAGAUCAUAUUACCCUCAUCAUAUUAUUAUUUUUAGAUCAUAUAGACACAUUUUUAUGUAUGUUCAUGGCAUAUUGUCACUGCACUAGUCAGUCUUUUCUGGCUUUCCAGUCAACAGCUGAGAACUAAACCAACAGAGGAGGCAUCGAAGGAAAGACAGGAGGCUUGAAAAAGGGUUUAAAUACUCCCACCUUUUUCAUGUUGAAUCAGUCAAAGAGUUGAACUGAGGAGGAGGGGUAUUGCUUCUUCAAACAACAUAUUCUAACCAUCCUGGAUAAAUUCAAUGUCAUGCUUAAAGAGGUCAACCAAUCAGCUAUCUUCUCCAUAGCUACUGUAAGUAUGGACACAGCCUGCUGUUUUGAAUUAGCAUGUCCAUAAAUGACUGUGUCAUCUGCGUACAUUUAGAUAUUAACUUCUGAACAUAUAGACGGAAGAUCAUGAAUGUAAAUACUAAAUUAAAGAGGUCUUAAAACAGAACCGUGAGGGACACCAACAGAAAACUCAAAAUGGUGAUGCUAUUCCUUUAACUCAUGUACAGUGUUGUCUAUUGUUCAAAUAUGAUGCCACCCAGUCAAUAGUUUUUUUUUGGAUACAUUAUGAGUUGAUGAUUUAGAUAAUAGCACCUAAUGACUAACUGUGUCAAAUGCUUUAUCUAUAACUAUGACUACAAUCACACCCCCUUUAUCUAACAUGCAUUUCAUUUGCAAAAUAGCAAUUUGCUGAUUCUGUUGAGUGAUGUGCUCUAAAACCAAACUGCAUUGGAUUCAGAGAAUGAUGACCAUAAUUCAAGCUGUCUAUGAAACUAAGCUUUGCCACCAAUUUUUUAUCACCUUGGAUAUUAUUGGAUGGAUGCUAACUGGUCUUUAGUCGGUCUGAUCUCUUAUUUUUAAUUUUUUAAUAAUUGGUGUGAUAACUUCAGUUUUUAAAGUGUGUGAGAGAGAGAGCUGCUUCCCUGUCACAGGCAGAGGAUGGGGGCAAACUCAAUUUACUGUCUGCAAUUUUUUCUCUCAGAAAACUGAGAAGAAAUUGCUAAGAAAGUUACUUUCAUUCACUUUAAAAAGGACCAUAAGUGUAUUAAUUCCUCAACUACAGCUUGUGUAUAUUUUCUAUGUUUUCUACCAUCCAUUGGCUUCCAUCCUUUGAAGAACAUGUAAAAUCCCUGUUUUUGGCCUUUACAUAGGCUAUGUAUCUAACUCAUGUUACACACCUCAGUGUUCACCUGUCUGUCUGAGCUCUUAUCAACACUGAGUACAUUCCCACCAGGUGUUGGGACUUAAUGUUCAGUAUCAAGUUGUUCAAUGUAAGCUGCACUUUGGUUCACUUCACAUGAAUAUAUAGAUUCUCUUUCUGAGCUUUGACUGCUGUCAAAUGUAGAGGAAACAGUAGGCAGCUCCUUUAAAUGACUAAACAGAUCUUAAUAUUGUACAUUUCUCACAUCUAUUCACUUCUGGUUGUAAAUUAAAGGAUAACUGGAGCUCAGAAAUGUUGCUACAUCAAAGAGAAAGAAAAAAGUGACUUACCUGUAUCACAGUGGUGAUUUACAGUCCAGUUCUUUAGAUCACUUGCUUGUUGAUUAGAGUGUGG